GGUCGCCCCCCGCCCGCGCUGCUUGAGCUCAAGGGCACCCCCAGGCUCCUUUCAAGGGGAGACCCGCGCGGAGGCUUAGGAACGAGCACGGGCGCAGCAGGACCGGAGUCCGGGUUCGUGCUGCGAGGGAAGGACGCUGCCGGGCUGGAGCCUCGUCUCCAAACCCUACGCGCUCGUCUUCCUUUGACUGGCUAACGUUGCUCUGCGGUGAACCGAGGUUGCUGGUGAACGUGGCCUUGAGGUAAAUCCUGUCCCUUGUUGAAGUUUCGUUUCAGCAGGUUAUGGCAUUUUAAGGAAUCAAAAUAUUUUACAAAAAAAACCCAAAAGUUUUGCUUCUGUUCUAGACUUCUGUUUAAACAACAAUUAUUUAUGAUAAAUAAUCGUGAUGCUUGUGAUUGGUCAUCUGCCUUGCUUAAAUUAAGUGGAUUUUAAAUGUCAAAAAGCCACUUCUAGAUGGUUUUAUUUUUGGUCAAAUAAAAUGUUACUAAAACCUUC